rnacentral:rRNA from 1 species
GACGAACGCUGGCGGCGUGCUUAACACAUGCAAGUCGAACGGUAAGGCCCUUCGGGGUACACGAGUGGCGAACGGGAGAGUAACACGUGGGUGAUCUGCCCUGCACUCCGGGAUAAGCCUGGGAAACUGGGUCUAAUACCGGAUAGGACUCCUGGCUUCAUGGUUGGGGGUGGAAAGCUUUUGCGGUGUGGGAUGGGCCCGCGGCCUAUCAGCUUGUUGGUGGGGUAAUGGCCUACCAAGGCGACGACGGGUAGCCGGCCUGAGAGGGUGACCGGUCACACUGGGACUGAGAUACGGCCCAGACUCCUACGGGAGGCAGCAGUGGGGAAUAUUGCACAAUGGGCGCAAGCCUGAUGCAGCGACGCCGCGUGAGGGAUGACGGCCUUCGGGUUGUAAACCUCUUUCAGCUAUGACGAAGCGCAAGUGACGGUAGUAGCAGAAGAAGGACCGGCCAACUACGUGCCAGCAGCCGCCGUAA